GUGAACGCUGGCGGCAGGCCUAACACCUGCAAGUCGAGCGGCAGCGCGGGGGCAACCCUGGCGGCGAGCGGCGGACGGGUGAGGAAUUCGUCGGAAUCUGCCUUUUUGUGGGGGAUAACGUAGGGAAACUUACGCUAAUACCGCAUACGUCCUACGGGAGAAAGGGGGGGACCGCAAGGCCUCACGCAGAAAGAUGAGCCGACGACCGAUUAGCUAGUUGGUGGGGUAAAGGCCCACCAAGGCGACGAUCGGUAGCUGGUCUGAGAGGAUGAUCAGCCACACUGGGACUGAGACACGGCCCAGACUCCUACGGGAGGCAGCAGUGGGGAAUAUUGGACAAUGGGCGCAAGCCUGAUCCAGCCAUGCCGCGUGUGUGAAGAAGGCCUUCGGGUUGUAAAGCACUUUUGUCCGGAAAGAAAUCCCUGGAGCUAAUACCUUCGGGGGAUGACGGUACCGGAAGAAUAAGCACCGGCUAACUUCGUG
rnacentral:rRNA from 1 species